GUAGGUGGCAAACGUUGUCCGGAAUUAUUGGGCGUAAAGCGCGCGCAGGCGGUCCUUUAAGUCUGAUGUGAAAGCCCACGGCUCAACCGUGGAGGGUCAUUGGAAACUGGGGGACUUGAGUACAGAAGAGGAAAGCGGAAUUCCAAGUGUAGCGGUGAAAUGCGUAGAGAUUUGGAGGAACACCAGUGGCGAAGGCGGCUUUCUGGUCUGUAACUGACGCUGAGGCGCGAAAGCGUGGGGAGCAAACAGGAUUAGAUACCCUGGUAGUCCACGCCGUAAACGAUGAGUGCUAAGUGUUAGGGGGUUUCCCGCCCCCCUUAGUGCUGCAGCUAACGCAUUAAGCACUCCGCCUGGGGGAGUACGGCCGCAAGGCUG
rnacentral:rRNA from 1 species